CAGUCGAACGGGAUCUUCGGAUUCUAGUGGCGGACGGGUGAGUAACGCGUAAGAAUCUAACUUCAGGACGGGGACAACAGUUGGAAACGACUGCUAAUACCCGAUGUGCCGCAAGGUGAAAUCUAAUUGGCCUGGAGAAGAGCUUGCGUCUGAUUAGCUAGUUGGUGGGGUAAGAGCCUACCAAGGCGACGAUCAGUAGCUGGUCUGAGAGGAUGAGCAGCCACACUGGGACUGAGACACGGCCCAGACUCCUACGGGAGGCAGCAGUGGGGAAUUUUCCGCAAUGGGCGAAAGCCUGACGGAGCAACGCCGCGUGAGGGAGGAAGGUCUUUGGAUUGUAAACCUCUUUUCUCAAGGAAGAAGUUCUGACGGUACUUGAGGAAUCAGCCUCGGCUAACUCCGUGCCAGCAGCCGCGGUAAUACGGGGGAGGCAAGCGUUAUCCGGAAUUAUUGGGCGUAAAGCGUCCGCAGGUGGUCAGCCAAGUCUGCCGUCAAAUCAGGUUGCUUAACGACCUAAAGGCGGUGGAAACUGGCAGACUAGAGAGCAGUAGGGGUAGCAGGAAUUCCCAGUGUAGCGGUGAAAUGCGUAGAGAUUGGGAAGAACAUCGGUGGCGAAAGCGUGCUACUGGGCUGUAUCUGACACUCAGGGACGAAAGCUAGGGGAGCGAAAGGGAUUAGAUACCCCUGUAGUCCUAGCCGUAAACGAUGGAUACUAGGCGUGGCUUGUAUCGACCCGAGCCGUGCCGAAGCUAACGCGUUAAGUAUCCCGCCUGGGGAGUACGCACGCAAGUGUGAAACUCAAAGGAAUUGACGG
rnacentral:rRNA from 1 species